AAAGGUUUAAAUGGAAUCAAAAAUUUUUGUUUUUGAAUAACAGUUCAAUUCUGUUAAUUUUUU
rnacentral:tRNA from 1 species